UAGGGAGCGAGCGUUAUCCGGAUUUAUUGGGCGUAAAGCGCGCGUAGGCGGGCUAUUAAGUCAGGUGUUAAAGCCCGGGGCUCAACCCCGGCCCGCACCUGAAACUGGUAGUCUUGAGUCUGGUAGGGGAAAGUGGAAUUCCCAGUGUAGCGGUGAAAUGCGCAGAUAUUGGGAAGAACACCAGUGGCGAAGGCGGCUUUCUAGGCCACGACUGACGCUGAGGCGCGAAAGCUAGGGGAGCAAA
rnacentral:rRNA from 1 species